GGCAGAUGAAGAUGUGUGUGUUGUUGUUCGAGUAAACAUGUACAGACACGGGGGUGGGGGGUGAAAACUGCCUUGGUCUCCCUAAGACCUGUUUUAGUCCAAACCCACCGACUCCUCUGCUGCUGUUCCUCUUCACGAGUCAGCAUGUCAGCUCUGAGCUGCUCUCUCUGAGUGAAUCCAGCAUGACCUUUGACCUGGAGGUGAAGAUGGAGGCGGGGCUUAAGUGGUCAGCGAUGUCACAGACACAUUAUGCAUUUGAGGACCUGUGUGGAAGUUAUGUGCCCAAACCUCCCUUGCAUCUUCCACGGUGUCUGUGCCACUAUCAGCUGAAGCCUAAACAUCACGGUUGGACUCAUUCCAACGCGCCUGAUGAAACUCACCACUUCAAGAUCAGGCCUGCCUUGAUUCUGCUCGUCUUCGGUUCCUGCUCAGAUGAAGAGUUCGUCUGAUUCAGGCUCAGUUCAUAUCAAUGAAACAUGACUGCCUCUCACCUGAUGAUAGCUGGGAUAGGCUCUGCCCCUACAGGUGAUCGAGGAAACUGCAGAAAAUUAUUCCAAGGUGCUUUUUCUUAGGAAGCUGUUCACCACCCAGAACCAACCUUGCCGUUGACCCAUCUCGAAUCAGGACUGGAACCGUCCUGCUGCAGCGUCACUCUGGACCCAGAAAAAACAUGAUGCUACCUCUGCCAUGCUUCAGAGUAAAUGACCUUCAUGGGGAACCAGAACUUCACCUGUUUCCGGAAUAUCUUUAGAUCUGUAAAGUAAUGGCUCUGUUAGAAACCUAAUUAUUAGUGAGUGUUCUCUUUGUGCACAACUCCCACCUGAAUAUUCUACACAAAUGCCACAAGAAAAUGUUUUUAUUGGCAUUUUUUAAGACAUUAAAAAAUCUCAAACGUCCAACACAGUUGGGAAAAUAGA